GAUAUCCUAUCUGGGGAAUGGCUUGGCUUGGAACGCCGAUGAAGGACGUGGUAAGCUGCGAUAAGCCCAUGCGAGGCGCAUACAGCCGUGGAACAUGGGAUUUCCGAAUGGGACUUCCUGCCCUUUUGGGCGAUCCGUGAGGAUCGGGAACGCGGGGGAUUGAAGCAUCUUAGUACCCGCAGGAAAAGAAAUCAACAGAGAUUCCGUUAGUAGGGGCGACUGAAAGCGGAACAGGGCAAACUGAAUCCCGCAAGGGAGAUGUGGUGUUAUGGGCCCUCUUCAAAACUUAGGAAGGGAUGCCGAAGUUGCCUGGAAUGGCACACCAUAGAGGGUGAAAGUCCCGUAGGUAUAACCAACCUAAGUUUGAGGUGUCCCUGAGUACCGUGCGUUGGAUAUCGCGCGGGAAUAUGGGAGGCAUCGACUUCCAACCCUAAAUACGUUCCAAGACCGAUAGCGUACUAGUACCGUGAGGGAAAGCUGAAAAGCACCCUUAAUCGGGUGUGAAAAGAGCCUGAAACCAGAUAGGGAUGGAAUGGCAUGGCUCCAAAGGCAACUGUUCCGAAGGAACCCCUUGCAAAAGGGCAGUACGAGGAACAGAGUCCAGGGUUGUGCCGUCCGUUUCGAAAAACGGGCCGGGGAGUGUAUGGUUGUGGCGAGCCUAAGACCUUAAAGGUCGGAGGCGUAGGGAAACCAACAAGUCCGCAGGCUUUGCCGAGGGACGGGGUCUUAAGGGCCCGGAGUCACAGCCAUACGACCCGAAACCGGGCGAUCUAGGCCGGGGCAAGGUGAAGUCCCUCAUCAGAGGGAUGGAGGCCUGCAGAGGUGCUGCCGUUCGAAGCGCUCUUCUGACCUCGGUCUAGGGGUGAAAGGCCAAUCGAGCCCGGAGAUAGCUGGUUCCCCCCGAAGUAACCCUAAGGUUAGCCGGAGGUUAGGUAGAUAGCAGGGUAGAGCACUGAUAGGGUGGUUAGGGGGCGAAAGCCCUCGCCACUCUGUCAAACUCCGAACCUGUUGUCGCCGCAGCCUCUGAGUAAGGGCAUACGGGUAAGCUGUAUGUCCGAGACGGGAAUAGCCGUGACUCAGGUUAAGGUCCCUAAGUGCCGGUUAAGUGUGAACACGAAGGGCGUCCUUGGCCUAAGACAGCAGGGAGGUUGGCUUAGAAGCAGCCAUCCUUAAAAGAGUGCGUAACAGCUCACCUGUCGAGGUCAGGGGCCCCGAAAAUGGACGGGGCUAAAUCGGCCACCGAGACCUGAGGGCACCGAAAGGUGAUCCGGUAGGGGGGCGUUCUGCGAGGGCAGAAGCUUGGCUGUGAAGUCAAGUGGACCUCGUAGAAAUGAAGAUCCCGGUAGUAGUAACAGCAUAAGUGGGGUGAGAAUCCCCACCGCCGAAGGGGCAAGGGUUCCACAGCAAUGUUCGUCAGCUGUGGGUAAGCCGGUCCUAACUUCCGAGGUAACUCCUUUGGAAGGAAAGGGAAACAGGUUAAUAUUCCUGUGCCAUCUAAAUACACGCGGCAACGCAAGGUCAGUUUCUGACGCUUCAGGGUAGGCUAACUGCCUUUGUCAGGGUAGUCAAGUGUAUAAGUCCGGGGAGAGUUGUAAUAACGAGAACCGGAUGAAAGCACGAUGAGCUGUCCGUUAGGACGGUUUGGUCGAGCUCUGGAGCCCGUGAAAAGGGAACUGACAUGGAUUUUAGAUGACCGUACCCAGAACCGACACUGGUGCCCCUAGGUGAGUAUCCUAAGGCGUAUCGGAUGAAUCUAGUCGAGGGAAGUCGGCAAAAUGGCCCCGUAACUUCGGGAGAAGGGGUGCCAGCGACCUUACUUAUAAGUGGGGUUGCUGGUCGCAGUGACCAGGGAGGUCCGACUGUUUAAUACAAACAUAGGUCUUAGCUAGUCUGAAAAGAUGUGUACUAAGGCCGACGCCUGCCCAGUGCUGGUACGUGAACCCCGGGUUCAACCGGGCGAAGCGCCAGUAAACGGCGGGGGUAACUAUAACCCUCUUAAGGUAGCGAAAUUCCUUGUCGGGUAAGUUCCGACCUGCAUGAAUGGCGUAACGAGACCUCCACUGUCCCCGACUAGAAUCCGGUGAACCUACCAUUCCGGUGCAAAGGCCGGAGACCUCCAGUGGGAAGCGAAGACCCCGUGGAGCUUUACUGCAGCCUGCCGUUGGGGCAUGGUUGUGGGUGUACAGUGUAGGUGGGAGCCGUCGAAACCUCCUCGCCAGGGGAGGUGGAGGCAACCAUGGGACACCACCCUCCCAUGACCAUGUCCCUCACCCAAGUAUGGGGACACCGGUAGGUGGGCAGUUUGGCUGGGGCGGUACCCUCCUAAAAAUGCAUCAGGAGGGCCCAAAGGUCGGCUCAGGCGGGUCAGGACUCCGCUGUUGAGUGUAAGGGCAAAAGCCGGCCUGACUUGGUUGCCCAAAAUACGCAACCAAGAGGCGAAAGCCGGGCCUAACGAACCCCUGUGCCUCACCGAUGGGGGCCAGGGAUGACAGAAAAGCUACCCCGGGGAUAACAGAGUUGUCGCGGGCAAGAGCCCAUAUCGACCCCGCGGCUUGCUACCUCGAUGUCGGUUUUUCCCAUCCUGGAUCUGCAGCAGGAUCCAAGGGUGGGGCUGUUCGCCCAUUAAAGGGGAUCAUGAGCUGGGUUUAGACCGUCGUGAGACAGGUUGGUUGCUAUCUGCUGGAGGUGUUGGCUGCCUGAGGGAAAGGUGGUUCUAGUACGAGAGGAACGAACCGCCGGUGCCUCUAGUCUAUCGGUUGUCCGACAGGGCAUUGCCGAGCAGCCACGCACCAAGGGAUAAGGGCUGAAAGCAUCUAAGCCCGAAACCCAUCCUGAAAACAGGCAGCCAGUCCCUUCGGGGACGAGGGCUCCCGUAGAAGACGGGUUUGAUAGGCUAGGGAUGUAAGCACCGAGGGUUCGCCCGAGGUGUUUAGUUCGCUAGUACUAAUCGCCCGAGGGAUAUUU
rnacentral:rRNA from 2 species